rnacentral:misc_RNA from 1 species
UCGUCGUCGUCGUCGGCAUAUUUCGGAGAUUGAAGUAAUCAACUGCGGCUGGGGUAGGGGGCAGGGGAGAUUAAAGAACUUAGUAAUGGCGGAGAUUUGCUGUAAAGUGAUGAGUGAGAGUGAGGCGUCGUCGUCCUGCGAGCCGAGCUCGCGAGUGGCUAGACGUCGGAGAAUGGAGAUCAGGAGGUGUAAAUUUGUCGCCGGAGUUGCUCCGUCGGAGACUGAGACUGUUGCAAAGAGGCAGAAGCUGGAGGAUCGAGCUACGUCAAUAUCCAGAGACUGUGAUAACGCAGUCCAGAAUUGUGAUUCGGGAGAAGAAGAAACGGUCGGGAGAUUUGUGGCCGGAGAGGUUUCGACGAAGGAGGUAUCAACUCCUCUAUCUCGGGAAUCUCCCUCUGGCGAAGUGAUUCCGAAGUUCGGAUUCUCUUCUGUUUGUGGAAGGCGGAGAGAUAUGGAGGAUGCGGUGGCGGUUCAUCCAUCGCUUUGUUUGACAGACAAGAAAGCCACCGAUAUGUUGCACUUCUUCGGUGUUUACGAUGGCCAUGGCUGCUCUCAUGUGGCGAUGAGGUGCAAGGAGCGGCUGCAUGAACUGGUAAAAGAUGAGUUGGAUAGAGAAGAGAAGGAAGACGCCGCUGCUGCGGCAGAGGCGGAGGCGUCGCGGUGGGACCGUGCUAUGAAGAGAAUCUUCUGGCGAAUGGACAACGAAGUUGUGGCGCGAAACAAUGAAGAAGUUGUGGUUGCGAACUGUAGAUGCGAGCUUCAGUCGCCGGAUUGUGAUGCCGUCGGAUCUACCGCCGUCGUCGCAAUUGUGACGCCGGAUAAGAUCAUCGUCGCCAACUGCGGCGAUUCCAGAGCCGUUCUCUGUCGCAACGGAAAGGCCAUCCCUCUCUCCUCCGAUCAUAAGCCGGAUCGUCCCGACGAACUUAGCCGAAUCGAGGAAGCCGGUGGGCGAGUGAUUUACUGGGACGGACCGCGAGUUCUCGGAGUUCUCGCCAUGUCAAGAGCCAUAGGCGAUAAUUAUUUAAAACCGUAUGUGAUAUCGGAGCCGGAGGUGACAAUAACGAAUCGGACGGCGGAGGAUGAGUGCUUGAUUCUAGCGAGCGACGGGCUGUGGGAUGUGGUGCCGAACGAGACGGCGUGUGGAGUGGCGAGCAUGUGCCUUAGGUCCUCCCCCGACGGUGACACCGGAGACCUCUCCUCCGUCUUCCCCCUAAGGCACAUGCU